AUGAAGAGAGGCCCCCGAUGCCACAAAGAUUUCAAUUGGGAUGAGCUAAAUUUGGAGCCUUUUGACUUGCAUGACCUUGGCUCCCCAAUGGCCGAGAGUGAGGUCCUGGAUGCGAUCAACGACAUGCCAAGUGACAAGGCGCCGGGGCCGGAUGGGUUCACGGGCCUCUUCUUUAAGAGGUGUUGGGACAUUAUUAAGCCUGAUCUCAUGAGGGUGAUCACACAUUUUGACUGCCUACACCCUCAAACCUCCAGUGGCUCAACUCCGCAGAUGUGGUGCUCUUGCCCAAGAAGGAAGGGGCGGAGGGGAUCGCCGACUAUAGACCCAUCAGCCUCAUCCAUGCGAUCGCAAAGAUUAUUGCGAAGGUGCUAUCCAUGA
rnacentral:rRNA from 1 species